CUCGGGUCGCGGUGUUGGCGCUGAGGUGGCGGCGGGCCGCUGUGGGGCUAAGGGAAGUGGCAGCAGGAGGGUUUGUUCUUCGCAGAGCCGGAGCUCUGGAAGCAGCUGUCAGUGGCUGUGUGUGGAAACAGGACCUGAGGAGCGGCCUGGUCAGCAGCUGCUGCUGUACCACCUUCUGCUGUGGGCUCCGUGAUCCUCAUGGAGGCCUUGGCAGAGUGCAUGCUCAGCCAGAUCAAUCCCACAUCAGCUUCCUACGUCCCUUACCAGUAUUAGGAAGUCUCUGUUGUUCAGAGCUUCCUCUUAUGGCACUUCUCUCAGGGGUCGCCAACCAGCAGACCAGGCUGCCCAGAGCGACAUCCAGCCUGGCCUUGAAUGCCUCCAGGGAUGGGGAAAUAGAACAGUCUGAAGAAAUCUACAGCGAUUCUGACCACCCGACCUCUUAAGUGCUGGCCAACAUGUAAAGCACGAGCCCAACCCAUUUAAACCAUUUCAUUACAGGUUUCAACCCAACCACUGAAAGGUGGAAGUGGAUGAUCAAAAAGGAUCUGAUCUCAUGUCAUAGAAUGAACAUUAAAGUAACAAGAUUCCACGAAGAUA